CAAAUUCUUUAGCUGCUUUUAGCUU
rnacentral:piRNA from 1 species